rnacentral:rRNA from 1 species
UCAAGCUAAGAAGAGCGCAAGGGGAAUGCCUUGGCAUCAGGAGCCGAAGAAGGACGUGACAAGCUGCGAUAAGCUGCGGUGAGGAGCAAAUAUCCUUUGACCCGCAGAUCUCCGAAUGGGGCAACCCGGCUGGACAAUAUCCAGUCAUCCUGCAUUGAACAAAAUAGGUGUAGGAAGGGAACCGUCUGAACUGAAACAUCUAAGUAGGACGAGGAAGAGACAUCAACCGAGAUUCCGCAAGUAGUGGCGAGCGAACGCGGAGGAGGCCAAACCGGAGGAAUAAUUCUCCGGGGUUGCGGACAGCUAUACGGAACAAUAGUUUAGCCGAACGGUCUGGGAAGGCCGGUCACAGAGGGUGAGAACCCCGUAGGCGAAAGACGAAUUGUUUCAGGCUGGAUCCAGAGUACCGCAGGACACGUGAAACCCUGUGGGAAACAGGGGGGACCACCCUCCAAGCCUAAAUACUACCUGAUGACCGAUAGAGGAGCAGUACCGUGAGGGAAAGGUGAAAAGGACCCCGGGAGGGGAGUGAAAGAGAACCUGAAACCUUGUGCUUACAAGCAGUCAAAGCACGUUAACGUGUGAUGACGUACUUUUUGUAGAACGGUCCGGCGAGUUAUAGUAACGAGCAAGCUUAAGGUAUUGAGUACCGGAGGCGAAGCGAGAGCGAGUCUGAAUAGGGCGUAAAGUUCGUUGCCAUAGACCCGAAACCGGGUGACCUAUCCAUGAGCAGGCUGAAGUGAGAGUAAAAUCUCAUGGAGGGCCGAACCGACCCCCGUUGCAAUGGUGGCGGAUGACUUGUGGAUAGCGGAGAAAUUCCAAUCGAACUCGGAGAUAGCUGGUUCUCCCCGAAAUAGCUUUAGGGCUAGCGUUAUGUUAGAUUACCGGAGGUAAAGCACUGAAUGGUAGCGGGGCCGAUAAGGUUACCAACGCCUAUCAAACUCUGAAUGCCGGCUAAUUGAUGCAUAGCAGUCAGACAGUGUGAGAUAAGUUUCAUUGUCAAAAGGGAAACAGCCCAGACCUACAGCUAAGGUCCCAAAUGUAUGCUAAGUGGAAAACGAUGUGGAAUUGCGAAAACAACCAGGAUGUUGGCUUAGAAGCAGCCACUCAUUAAAAGAGUGCGUAAUAGCUCACUGGUCGAGUGACUCUGCGCCGAAAAUUUAACGGGGCUAAAUCGUACACCGAAGCUUGGGAAUAUCAGUUAUUCUUCAUGGACUUGCUAAGGUAAGACACCAUGGCACGAAGUGCCAUCAAAUUGUCCAUAAGGAUAAAGCGAGCUUGUGAAGAAUAACUGAUAUUGGUAGGAGAGCGUUGAAUGCGGGGUGAAGUCAGAGCGAAAGCGCUGGUGGACUGCAUUGAAGUGAGAAUGCCGGAAUGAGUAGCGAGAUUUAUGUGAGAAUCAUAAAGGCCGAAAGACUAAGGUUUCAGAAGGAAGGUUCGUCCGCUUCUGGUUAGCCGGGAGCUAAGGUGAGGCCGAAAGGCGUAGCCGAUGCACAUACGGUGGAGAUUCCGUAGCCGUCGAAAUAUUUAAGCAAAGGGACACUUAUGAAGGACAUGACCCGGGCGAUGGUAGCCCCGGGCGUAAGGGACCGAAAACAAGUAGGGAAGCAUGUUUGGAUUAAGGCGAGAAAAGCUUUGUGUAUAUAUCAGACGUCCGUACCGCAAACCGACACAGGUAGUCAGGAAGAGGAUUCUAAGGCCAACGGGAGAAGGGUAGUUAAGGAACUCGGCAAAUUGACCCCGUAACUUCGGGAUAAGGGGCGGUGCGUAAGCACCCGCAGUGAAUAGGUCCAGGCGACUGUUUAUCAAAAACACAGCUCUCUGCUAAAUCGAAAGAUGACGUAUAGGGGGUGACACCUGCCCGGUGCUGGAAGGUUAAGAGGAAGGGUGCAAGCUCUGAAUUGAAGCCCCAGUAAACGGCGGCCGUAACUAUAACGGUCCUAAGGUAGCGAAAUUCCUUGUCGGGUAAGUUCC